AAAUUCUCCAUUCGUUGUCUGUAUGAUUUCCUAUUUUGGGUCCUAUAGCUACAAAGUGACACCCAUUUCUAAUGAUGUCGCUGACAACAUGAGGUGAGGGCCAUGCGUGACACAUAUCUAUCCAUAAGGAAGCAGACGGAGGCCAGAAAUCACUGAUAAAGCAAAUAGCAUUAUCGUAUUCUAAUACACCAUUUAAUUGGCCACUGCUACAUGGUCCGUGUGGUGUAGAACCAGGCAAAGCAAAAGGAUGCAUGACCUCUCUGUACUUUGAACUUGAUAUAUAGAGCAUUCCAUUCAUCCUUACACACGCUGACAUCACUCCAUGACUAGUUCUUUCUAAUGGUAACCAUAGUAAAGUGAAUCCUGGUGGACUCUCAGAACUGUCACAGAGAAUCAGUGUGUGUUCUUGUGUGUUGUAAAACUGUACCUGAGAGAAAUCCCAGAUCACUCGGUGUUUAUUUGGCCAAAUCAUGUAGUCAAAGUCUGAUCCACUCAGCCUGAGUCCUUCUCUACGACUCCCACUCAGCAUCAUUCUGACCGGAUGAUUUAACAUCUCGUUGUUUCUCAACAUCUCGAGAAUGUCCUCUAUAUCUCUCCUGGAGGCCACCUGUUGUGGAGUUCCUAUCUUUAGACACAUCCCCACAUACACUGACUCGGAUAUCCUCUGAACAGCCAUCUUACUGAAAUGAAAAGGACAAGUUACUUGUACAAUUCCAUAUGUCUGUUCUAAUAGUGUCAUAACACAAUUUUAAUAAUAUUAACAUAAGUGUUCUGUU
rnacentral:sRNA from 1 species